rnacentral:lncRNA from 1 species
CACCAUGUGCGUGCCCGACACUUAGGUCUAGCCCGCGUCCUCAAGCCUCUCGCCAUCCCACCUCUGCCUCACCGCGGAGUGAAGGGUGACAGAGGUGGAACUAAGUUUUCGGGGAUUAAGGGAAACGUGCGGAUUUCCCAAGAAUCUCGCUCCGCGUUUGAGACGGACCUGCCACGUUCUGCCACAAACGCUGCGAGGUGCCGCCGGGAGACGCCCCGGGUGGCACGGACCAGCCCAGGAGGACAGUCCUCCCGCGCUGCCUCGGUUUCUGCUGAACCACCCACCCUCCCGGGAAAGACCUCUUCUUUUCACGCCUCCUUUUCAAAGCGAACGGUCCUCAGCGGCCGUGGGGCCUCUACGGAAAGAAAACUGGGGUGCGGACGGCACCAACGCGGAGAAAAUGCCUUCCCAGCCCGCGCAAACCACAGGGGCAAAGCUCCGGCCCGGCCGUGGGUGCAGCGGCCGCGAGGAUGCAGCGGUCCUCGGACCGGCAACCAAGGGAGACGCGGAGCCGGGACCCCCGCGGCCCCGCCCCGCACGCACCUGGGAGGCGCUGCCCGACUCCGAGCCGGGGAAGACCGUGGGGUAGCGACUGAGAACCGCAGCAAGGCAGCGGCGAAGACUCUGAAAACCGCCGGCCCGGAGCAGCGCAAGCAGACAAAGUCAAUGCCUGCCCAAGCCCCGCACCAGCGAGCGCCCCGACAGCCGCCGCCGCGCCAGCAGCCCCGCCGCGCGCUCCGCCCCGGGGGACCGAGGGGCGUCCCCGAGGGGAGGCUCACCUGUCCGCGCCGCCGCCGCCCUCGCGGACCUGCGAGGGGCGCUCAGGGUCCUCCCCAUGCUCCGGGGUGCCGUCCGCCGCUCCGCACGCGCGUCCUGCCCUCGGUCCCACGCCCGCGGGACCCUGCGAGCGAGCCGCCCCUUCCCGGGACUCCCCUCCUCCCGGCUCCCACGGGGCGCCUCGCCCGCGUUCGCACGGACUCGUCAGCCGCGCGCGGGACCCUCCACGUCGCAGCCCGUCCUUCCUCUCCGCCCUUGUGCGGGGAGCGCCGCCAGGGUGACGCGGGGCUGCCCCGAAGCGCCGGCGGGAGGGACACGGGCCCGAUGUCCAGGCUCGAAGGCCGCAGGCCCCGCUGCGCUUGUCAGCCCAGCGUCGCCCCUGCCCCAGACGCUCAUAGGAAGGCGCGGACGCCGAGACGCCCCGCGGCCUGA